UAACCGGAAAUAGCAUUUAGGGUCACUUGCAAAAUGGGAAAGUUUUUUUUUUCACAACGGUGGAACUCUUCGGUGUAACUCUUCCCGGGAAAUUACCAGAAGUCCCGUUUUUUUUUGCGGAUGCAUUUCGAUGCAUUACCUCAAAAGAAAAGAAAGAGAGUGUAUUCGCAAAUCAAACUUUUCAUACUGACCUCCACUUCGUUCUGCGGUUCUGAAACCAGGUUUUGACCUGCGCGUCCGUCAUCUUCAGACUCUUGGCCAGGGCGGCCCGCUCGGCGCUGGCCAGGUACUUCUGUCUAUGGAAACGUUUCUCCAGCUCGCAGAUCUGAACCCUGGAGAAAGAUGUCCGUGGCUUUUUCCGCUUUGGUGGAGUCCGAUUCUGGUACGGGUGUCCUAUCCGUCGCGUGACGGCGAACGGAACCAGAGCCGCUACGGCAAGCAGAGAGAGACACAUCGGGGAAGCACAGCCCUCCAAACCCUGGGACAGCGCCCUGCACGGGGGCCGGAGGUCCCGCGGCUGUCAUGGGUCUAUGGGCUGGGACCCGAAUCACUCCCCGACUGCCCAGACCUCUGCUCUCCACGUAUGAUCCCGCAGCCUCCACCGGGGGCAUAAUACCGGAGAGGGAUAUGGACAGCGCGGUAUAUGAGGGCGCGCUGGCGCCGGUCGGGCUUCCUAAACUGUAAUAACCGUCCCCGCUGCUUAAAUCGGAUCCACUCUGUCUUCCGGCCGUGCGCCCGCUCUCGGGCUCCGUACCGGCUCCCAGGAUCUGGUCGAUGCCGAAGCUGAUGGGCUCGUGAUGGGCAGGUUUGGGAGGAGGACUCGGCGCGCUGGGUGCUUGCUCCAUCCCCGUCGCUCUAUCUCAGAAAAAAAAGAAGUAAAGAAGAUGUUUUCCGGAGGAUUCACAGUAGGGUCAAACUGCACCCAAAGUCACUGCCAGCUGUGUCUCCAUCGCUGUCCAGUUGUGUUCCCAGAAUCCAGCGCGCCCUCGUUGUGUCUAACAGGCCUCCUUCAGAGGACUGGCUCCUCUCUACAGGCUGUGUGAAAGUUUGAUGGGCGUUUGGAGAGAUGUGACGCUCUGUCCUCCUCUCAGCGCGUCAAAACGCUCCGUCUGGCUGCUCCGUCCUCCUCCAUCCUUCUCCACCUUUCAUUGGCUGGCACCGUGAUGACUGAUUGAAUGUUAAUGGGGGUAGGCCCGCGAUUUGGCACAAUUACCAAGACUUCCCAUAAUCAACCACUACGGGCGUCAGAUUGUUAUGUAUAAAGGGCACGAUAUGGCAACCUCUGAGUGAGACAGUGUCUAAUAUCGCCGUUUUUCAUUCUGAUGAUGGAGAAAGAAAGACAGUGUCAACUCCAUCGAAAUUAAUUUUGCAUAUAUAAAGAAAAUCACAGGGGAUGAUAGGAUAUCGGUUCUGUUACACGUCUUUAACAUUUGAUAUUUUCUUGGUUCAAUCAAAUAGGGUUUUUUAGUCAUCUGUCAGUGCCCACAACACACUCACUGUGGACUUGUUUAUAAGUUUUGAUAACAAAUGAUUCAGAGGAAAAAAAACUUUUUGCUCACCUCAGGGUCUGAUGAAUUGAUGCGUCUUCUGCCCACUUUUCAGUCGAGACACGAUAUGCACAUCAUUUGUCGUCUUUCUGUCUGUCACCUCUUUAUUGAUACAUGUGGAUUUUACGGGAAUAUUAAUAAGUUGGUUGAUGGCAGAGAAGUGCUUUACAACCAGGAGACAAUUUAUCACGGAAAUAUUAUAAAAGAGGGAACAAAAGGAAGAUACACCAGGCUGCAUUUAUAUUCCCUGUAUUUUUAAAUCCUUCAUGUCGCCGUUACCUUCAAAUCAGACAUGGAGUUAUUUUUUUUUCAGUCACUCGACUGAAAUGUGGUGUUUAAUAGUGAAUUAUUUCGCAUUAUUUUUGAGCUAAAAACAAUUAUGUUGGACUAUUUUCCCAGCCAUCAAAUGCGUCACGUGUAGAGCCUUUAAUGUAAGAAUGUAAAUGCAGAUGAGUUAUGUGUAUGCAGAUGUUUUGUUCCUUUUUGCUGGUUUUCUGUCAGGUUGUGAAAAUUAUGUAAAACCACUAAAAACAUUGACUUAAUAAAACAUUUAUAUAGAAUUUA